CGAAGAUGUCAGCUUGGUCGGUAGACGACGCUCUGGACUUCGCGCGCUGACUACCAUCUUGUCAGCCGCUACAAUUAUUGUAAAUAUCCUCAUCACCCAGAUGGCUACGAGGCCCGACAUGGACUUCGACGUGCAAACAAAGGAGCUCACUUCAAGGCAACAUCAACUGCCACCUCCAUGGAAGCAGUAACGAUCGCAAGGAGAAGUCUCCUGACCCUGGCAAGCGGACCAUCAGAGAGAAGCCACCAAUUGACGAAAGCGGCCAACGUCAAGGACUACCAUGGGAACUGCGUCAACAUCAAAUUCCCAAAUUGCCACGUGGUUGCCUUGUAUGUGGGGGCGAUCACACAACAUUGGAGGCGGAGUACAGCGGAAUGGUGCGACGUCAUGGGAGGGAUUUUGAGGACGGUUCCACGACUGGGAUUGGCUGAGACACAGUCAUCAGACACCCUAGUCUAGUCACCUAGAGAAAUGAACUAUUUUAAAGGCAGACACCUUUGAUGCAGAGUGUGUGUGCUGAUGUGUCCCGACAUGCACUCCAAAAGAUGUCUGCUCUAAUCUUAGCUCAUUAUACAAGAACGAUGUACUGUGCUCCGUGCUCCAGUCAGUAUGAGUAUCCCUUGUUUUGUAAAUAAGUUUGCAUCUCCUAUAUGUAAAUAAACGCCCCGUUCCAUUCA